UACGUAGGGCGCAAGCGUUAUCCGGAAUUAUUGGGCGUAAAGAGCUCGUAGGCGGUUUGUCGCGUCUGCCGUGAAAGUCCGGGGCUCAACUCCGGAUCUGCGGUGGGUACGGGCAGACUAGAGUGAUGUAGGGGAGACUGGAAUUCCUGGUGUAGCGGUGAAAUGCGCAGAUAUCAGGAGGAACACCGAUGGCGAAGGCAGGUCUCUGGGCAUUUAACUGACGCUGAGGAGCGAAAGCAUGGGAGCGAACAGG
rnacentral:rRNA from 1 species